GAUGAACGCUAGCGGCAGGCCUAAUACAUGCAAGUCGGACGGGAUUGAGAAGCUUGCUUUUCAUGAGAGUGGCGCACGGGUGCGUAACACGUAUGUAACCUACCUUAAUCAGGGGGAUAGCCUCUCGAAAGAGAGAUUAACACCGCAUAAAAUCAAUUUAUGGCAUCAUAGAAUGAUCAAAUAUUUAUAGGAUUAAGAUGGGCAUGCGGAACAUUAGCUAGUUGGUAAGGUAACGGCUUACCAAGGCUACGAUGUUUAGGGGAUCUGAGAGGAUGACCCCCCGCACUGGUACUGAGACACGGACCAGACUCCUACGGGAGGCAGCAGUAAGGAAUAUUGGUCAAUGGGCGCAAGCCUGAACCAGCCAUGCCGCGUGCAGGAAGACGGCCCUACGGGUUGUAAACUGCUUUUGUACCGGAAUAAACCUUUGUAUAUAUACGAAGCUGAAUGUACGGUAAGAAUAAGGAUCGGCUAACUCCGUGCCAGCCGCCGCGGUAA
rnacentral:rRNA from 1 species